rnacentral:sRNA from 1 species
UUUCAUUAAGCAAAAAUUAAUUAAAUUGAAAUCAAAGUGAAAGUGAAAGAAAUUGCUCCCAGCAAGUGCAAGCAACCGGAAAAGGAAAUGAAAUUAAAAGUGCAUACUUUUUAUAACACCUUGUGCAGAAAAUAAAUGGGCUCCAAAGUCCUUUUCAUUACAUUGCAAUAAAAUAAAAAAAAGCACGCAUUAACACCUAACAACGGGCCGGCCUUGGUAAGGGCGAAAAAAGGGAGAUUACAUUGCCUAGCACGUCAAACUAAGCUUCCUACAAAAACCAAAAAAACUAAAUUCACCAAGGACGGGAUAGAAAGACCUUCUCCUCCUUCUCCCCAACUCCUCAACAGCUGUUCUAACUGCUGCUGCAGUUCAACGUUCAUCUUAUCGUUAGCAGGCUUCUACUACUGUACGUUAUGUUAUAAAAUCAACCAAAUUUUCCAGAUUUAAACAACACUAAAGAAAGGCUAAAUGUUUUUUAUCUGCUAGAAAUAGAACAACGAAACUAAAUGACAAUUGAUGGCUUGCCUAGGUCAUCCAUCUAUCCAAGGCUCCACAUAAAAACAGAAAUAAUAAAAACAACAAUAAUAAUAACAACAAGGACAGCAUCA